rnacentral:rRNA from 1 species
UACGUAGGGGGCAAGCGUUGUCCGGAAUCAUUGGGCGUAAAGUGCGUGUAGGCGGCCCGGUAAGUCCGCUGUGAAAGUCCAGGGCUCAACCCUGGGAUGCCGGUGGAUACUGUCGGGCUCGAGUCCGGAAGAGGAGUGUGGAAUUCCUGGUGUAGCGGUGAAAUGCGCAGAUAUCAGGAGGAACACCAAUGGCGAAGGCAGCACUCUGGGACGUGACUGACGCUGAGACGCGAAGGCGUGGGGAGCGAACGGG